AGUCAUGUCCUACGGGAGCAGCAGUGGGGAAUUUUGGACAAUGGGCGCAAGCCUGAUCCAGCUAUUCCGCGUGUGGGAUGACGGCCCUCGGGUUGUAAACCACUUUUAGUAGAGAACGAAAAGGAGCUAUCGAAUAAAUAGCUCUGCUGACGGUACUCUAAGAAUAAGCACCGGCUAACUACGUGCC
rnacentral:rRNA from 1 species